rnacentral:rRNA from 1 species
ACGAACGCUGGCGGCGUGCCUAAUACCUGCAAGUCGAGCGGACUGAAUGGGAGCUUGCUCUUGUUCGGUCAGCGGCGGACGGGUGAGUAACACGUGGGCAACCUGCCCGCAAGACCGGGAUAACUCCGGGAAACCGGAGCUAAUACCGGAUAACACCGAAGACCGCAUGGUCUUUGGUUGAAAGGCGGCGCAAGCUGCCACUUGCGGAUGGGCCCGCGGCGCAUUAGCUAGUUGGUGAGGUAACGGCUCACCAAGGCGACGAUGCGUAGCCGGCCUGAGAGGGUGACCGGCCACACUGGGACUGAGACACGGCCCAGACUCCUACGGGAGGCAGCAGUAGGGAAUCUUCCGCAAUGGGCGAAAGCCUGACGGAGCGACGCCGCGUGAGCGAAGAAGGCCUUCGGGUCGUAAAGCUCUGUUGUGAGGGACGAAGGAGCGCCGUUUGAAGAAGGCGGCGCGGUGACGGUACCUCACGAGGAAGCCCCGGCUAACUACGUG